rfam:Triticum aestivum genome assembly, contig: Triticum_aestivum_CS42_TGACv1_scaffold_407261_5BL
GAUGUACUCCCUCCGUUCCAAAUUACUCGUCGCAGAAAUGGAUGUACCUAGAACUAAAAUACAUCUAGAUACAUCUAUACCCGCGACAAGUAAUUCGGAACGGAAGGAGUAGGCG